CAGCAAUUGAAUAAUUCCAGUUUUGGAUGGUUAUGCAACAAGGUGGUGAUACGAUCCUUGCAACUUGUACGCUGGAACACCCAACAGCCUAUUAGGAGAGACGUCGUUUCAUUUGUGACACACAUUAUGGAAACUUCCUGAGUGGCAGAUGGUGGGCAGUCGCCUUCUGCAAUGCUAUACCAAUGUCUCCAUCUAGUGGUCUGCAGCGCACUGCAACAGGCAGAUCGAAAUGAGUUCAAAAUGGAUUGUAAGUCACAAGAUAUCUCUACAAACCUUCUUGCACCUUAUGUCUUAAGACCCUGUAUGCACAUGGGUCUAUCUCUGUCACCACUAUCUUAAUUGUGGGAACCCUAACCCCUUAAAAGAUAACUGCAUUUCCUACAACUCAACGGUCCACAUUGAGAAAAUCAACAUGGACCAAAGGUUUUGCUCAGGACUCUUACAACCCUGGAGUGAUACUGUGGGGGCAAAG